rnacentral:tRNA from 1 species
GCCUGGCUGGCUCAGUAGGUGAAGCAUGUGACUCUUGAUCUCGGGGUCAUGGCUUUGAGCCCCAUGUUGGGUA